rnacentral:rRNA from 1 species
GAUGAACGCUAGCUACAGGCUUAACACAUGCAAGUCGAGGGGAAACGGCAUUAAGUGCUUGCACUUUUUGGACGUCGACCGGCGCACGGGUGAGUAACGCGUAUCCAACCUUCCCAUGACUAAGGGAUAACCUGCCGAAAGGCAGACUAAUACCUUAUGGUCUUCACUGACGGCAUCAGAUGUGAAGUAAAGAUUUAUCGGUUAUGGAUGGGGAUGCGUCUGAUUAGCUUGUUGGCGGGGUAACGGCCCACCAAGGCAACGAUCAGUAGGGGUUCUGAGAGGAAGGUCCCCCACAUUGGAACUGAGACACGGUCCAAACUCCUACGUGAGGCAGCAGUGAGGAAUAUUGGUCAAUGGGCGAGAGCCUGAACCAGCCAAGUAGCGUGCAGGAUGACGGCCCUAUGGGUUGUAAACUGCUUUUGUAUGGGGAUAAAGUCAAUCACGUGUGAUUGUUUGCAGGUACCAGACGAAUAAGGACCGGCUAAUUCCGUG